UUAUAGGCAACUUUGCAUAAUAACAUCAUUAGUGCUUUUUUUCCCUACAGUGAAAUGAUCGAAUGCUUUAAUCAGAUUGCUGAAGACUCAGAGUGCCGUGUGGUGGUGGUCUCGGGUGCAGGGAAAAUCUUCACUGCAGGCACGGACGCUGAUCACAGAGGAGAGCCUGAUGACCACGAUCGUCCGCACACUCCAUGAUCACCUGAGACAUCCAGACCAGCAGGGACGAUUUCAGUUUGAACUCUACAGUGCACAAAAGAUAUGUCCUGAUUAGCCGUCCAACAGAGUGGACCGACAAGCUCAGGGAGAAGUUUCUGGAAGGACUUGAUGCUUUCUUGGAGCUGCUCAAGUGCAUGCAGGUAUGGACCCAGUAGUACGCGACGUGGGCCAAGACAUAGAGAUGGAACCAUUGUGGGUGACAGCCUUCACAUUGCAGAUGAAGCUCACACACAUUCUCAGUGAUGCAAGAGUGGUGUGCCAGUGAUGUGAGUACUAACACACUCACCAGUACUAGUAUAUUACAAUGUGUGCACACUCUACAGGAGUUCUGGUAAUGCGACCAUAGCAGCAAAUGCACAUAUUAUUCCUGCACAAACUAAAACCAACAAGAUCUGUCUGAAGAUCACAGGACUUUUGUCUUUGUCAUGUCUUUGAGGUGUAUGGAAAUGAUUGGCUCCGAGUAGGGAUUUCUUGAAGGUCAAAGUUCUACAUGUGGUUGUAAAUUUAAAUCUAUAUAUGGAAGCCUUCAAAUAAGAAGGAAGUAUUCGACGUGCAGGAAGUGGACAAAAUAACUAACAGUACAUGAAAAAGCAUCUUGACAAGCACAGCUAUUGUG